AGACUUGCUGAGUCUUCUGGCCUUCAUCUUUCUCCUGUGCUGGAUGCUUCCUGCCCUCAAACUUCAGACUCCAAGUUCUCCAGCUUUUGGUUUCUUGGACUUACACCAGUGAUUUGCCAGGGACUCUCGGGCCUACUACGACAGACUGAAGGUUGCACUGUUGGCUUCCCUACUUUUGAAGUUUGGGGGCUGGCUUCCUAGUUCCUCAGCUUGUGGAUGACCUACUGUGGGACUUCACCUAGUGAUCAGCAAUGAAGGAGAAAACUUUCAAAUAGCCCCUCUGCAUCUCCUACCUGAUGGUUAAUGCUGGCUGAGGAUUUCAGUGACAAUUCAGAAUUCAGCUAUAACUGCAAGUGGACAACACUUGUAAAUUCAGCUCUUCUUUUCCUCAAGCCUUACUUUCCUGGAUGCACAAAAGACCAACAAAACACUGGGAUCAAGGAAAGACGCAGCUUUUGUAUAAAUGAAAACCAAAUAUAGCAGUAUAUCAGAGGUCACAAUCGUGACUGACACAGGGUUGUAUACCUGCCAUUUCUCUGUCUUCCUGUGACCCUUCUUCAU